UAAAAUAAUGUAGAUGCUGUUAUGCUGUUGUAAUGAAUACAUUUCCUGGAGUACUGAUUUCAGCUGCAGCAUGGUGUACAGUUACUUAAAAGUCUGGGAAGUCCUGGAAGGACAGAAUGAAGAAAUGGAGAUAGAGGUGGAAGUGGCACACAUUGAGAAACAAGGCAAAAAUGAAGAUUGUUAAGGUUGGAGAAGAGAUCUGCCUAAACCUGAUAACUAAAAUAAGGGUAAUGAAACUGUUAGGAAAAUGCUUUCACUAUCCUUGGUAAAACAGUGCAAAAUCAACCAUUUAAUCCUUUAAAAAACAAACAUAAAACAACCAACAACAUAUUGUUCAUAUCAGGACAAACCAAUGGCUUGCUUUAUGCCUUGUUCCAGACAGUGAUCAGGAGCAGUUGUUUAGGACAAAAUGAGGGAAAGUGUGGAACAGCAGUGUAGUCCCAGCUAGAAAGUGGGAUGCUGGACUAUAAGAAGUACUUCAUGUUCUCCCAGAAAACAAAUGCACAGACAGAUUUAUAGCUGUGGGCUGUUCUCUGUAUGGGUAAGAAAUUCACAUGUGCCUGUUUUACCAUAGCACUCUGUGUAACACCGCCAUUUCUCCCAGUACUUUUAGUUUCUUCAAUUAUGCAAGGGUAACAACAAGCCAGCACUCAGCUGUGGCCCUCAGCAAUUUUCAAGGUGACUGUACUUUUAGAUACUGCAUAGCAAAUUACAGUGGCAGAUGACUAACAGGUGAAAUCAGAUGCAAAGAUUUAAAGAGCAAAUCGUGUUAUUGCUUUAAGUACCAAUUUAAUCUUUCUAGACAUGAUAAUGUUUUAAGGCAAGCAUUAUUACUGUGCUCUAGAAGAGCAAAUCUACUGAUUCUGUCUGCUUUAGGAAAUCAAUGAGUUGUUUUGCCUCUUAUGAAAUGUAAGCAAUUGAGGUGCUAAGAAAAAUAAGAAAUUGUCUUUAAUUGUACUGAAACUAUGUAUUUAUUACACACCAAAUCCAGUACUGAUGACUUCUCUCCCACCCUACUGCAGUAGCAGAGAACAGCGAGAUGUUACAGAGAGGCCUGUUGCUGGAAGAAAAUCUAAACAGGGCUUUUUCUGAGGAUAGGAUGUCUGCUACAAACAUGGGUUAGCAUGGCUGACCAAAAGCAGUUACGUAUUACAAAAACACUGGUGGUGUGUCCAACCCAAGGCAAGCAGUAAAUGAAGACAGCUGAAUUCUGCUUCUGAUCUUACGUAAACAGCUGCAGAGCUGAGGUGGCAUGAAGUGAGUUGGUGCUUGAAGGGAUGUUGGCAAGGAUGACAGAGAAGGAUUUAGUCGAGCAGUGUAAGAGCCCCUGCUUCAGUUGACUCCUGCAGAUUUGGAUGUUGAUCAGCAAUAGCAUGUGAGGAAGAAGCUGCAGAAUAGACUGGAAUGGCUUACCCCAGUCUUUCACCAAAUUAUUGGACAUAUAAAGAACCUUCAGCUUCUUCAUUACACGGAUACCCCUCAGUUUCUCAAUGAAGUUGUACGAGAUCCACAGCUCUUCUAGCGUAUCUCCAACUGCUUCCUGGAAAAUGACAGAGCUACUCAGGACAGAAAGAGAGCUCCUAACAUGGCCUGUGGUGGGGAGUGAACAGCUGAAGAAAGAAGAUUUUUCCAGGCUGCCACCCACCUCUGAAACAAACCUCAGAUGGAAUACCACCAUAAGCACAGAGAAACCACAGCUCCCUGCAGGAUCUUCCUCUAGUUGACACUAAGAAGCUAUGACUCUUGGAGUGGCUCUUCAUUUUAUUUUCUGGGGAACUCAGAAGCAUUUUCAGAAGUAAUAAGCUCGAUUUAUGAGAGCAAAUUAUUCUACUGACUUUAUUCUCUUGCCCAGCUUGGAGCAUAAUCUGGGCACUGUCACCUCUGACAGUGAAAUUCAACUGAAUUGAAGGGCAUUAGAAAUUAUUGCACUGAAAAAUGUGGUCUGACACUCUUAUGAAAACACCCUAUUACUGUGCAUUAGUAAUCUCUUGCUUGUCUGUGAAUAGACAGAAUGAUAAAGCCUGUUAGAAUUCACUGGGGAAAAGAAGAUACUUCUUACCAAAAAAUCAAGAGCAAUCUGAAAUGUUUAUUUCUUUUUUUCUAACAAUUUUGUCAUCAAAUCACGUAACAUGAACACAUACAUUAUCAGUUAAAAACAAUCUGAGUGCUCCUGUAGGAGGCUCUUCAAGGAUCCACUCAUUGAGCAACCUUUAGGUGCCACUAACUUCCAACUUUUCUGCCUCACAUCACUCCCAUUACAACCAAAUGGCAAUAUCCAUAACAGUAGUAUGAAGAGAAACUGAUAUAUCCUAAACACAUUCAAAGACAUUUUUCAAGUUAAAAAGGUUCCAGAGACUGACAUCCCACUAGCAAUGACCAACAGCCUCCUUCCUAGCAAGCCAGUGUAGCACGACACAUGGCAGCUUUUCUGGUAACCAGAUACCCUCCAAAAAUGGGAGAGGGAAGGAAAAAAGGAAAAGAAAAAAAAACAAACUAAGAAACUACUGCCAAAAAUCUUAGGAGAAUUCACCUCAGGUCACAAAGCUUUAAUGCCAGAUACUUUAGACCACUGAAAGCUCUGGAUUCGGUGGUAAAAGACAAGACCCACGACAGCUGCCAAGAGAACAACUACAGGCACAGAAUGCCCAGCAACAGCUUAGAGCCGUCCAGACCAAGGCCUUUGAGCUUCGUCUUGUCUGUCCCACACAACAGCCAGGUCCAGGCCCAGCUGCAGACAGGGGUUGAAUUUCUGCCACGGCACAGCCUCCUUGGCGCCUGCUGCAGGCCAACUUAAGUGAUCACCUCCUGCUCAGAAAACAACCCCAGCUUCUGCUCCAGCAGUCUUCCUGAGACUCUAAUUAGCAGCCAUAGCAGUGUGACAGCUAAGCCAAGUGGCUUCCAGUUGUUUCUUUUUUCAGGCGGGAAGUUUCCAGCACUUUUCCAUAAUUCUGCUAGCUGACUGUUGUACCAUUUGGGGCAUGACUUCAGUCCCUCACAGAGCCUCCUGCUGUCCCAAAUCCAUGCAUAAAACCAGACCAGAUUUAAAGCUGAGAACCAGGUGCACAAAGAAACAAUCAGCACAGGGCUUAUCAAAAGAACGUUCGCCAAUGACUUUGUUUUGCUCUUUGAAAUGCACUGGAAAUUUCCCUAGAUAAGCAGCCUCCUGCAGCAGAAGGCACUAUAGCUGAUGGGGAAGCCUCCCUGAGAAGGCUGCUUUCGGGGUCCCCAGAUGGAUGCUGAAGAACCUCCUGCAGGGAUGGAAGGGAAAGAAAGUCACACAGCUUCAAGAGCCACCAGAGGCUGAAGCAGCCACCUGAGAUAUCGCCACCAGGGCUCCAGGAACAAGAAAUAUAACAUCUCAGCAGAAAACAAAUGUAUUUAUACUAUAAUAGUUGGAAUAUUUUUCUUCCCAGAAAGAGGUCUUUUGGG